GCAAGUCUGGUGCCAGCAGCCGCGGUAAUUCCAGCUCCAAUAGCGUAUAUUAAAGUUGUUGCAGUUAAAAAGCUCGUAGUUGAAUUUCGGGAUCAAUAUUUCGGUCAUGCCGUUGGUAUGCACUGUUAUCAUUGAUUUCUCACCUUCUAAAGAACCAUAAUGCCAUUAAUUUGGUGUUACGGGGAAUUAGGACUGUUACCUUGAAAAAAUUAGAGUGUUUAAAGCAGGCUCACGCUUGAAUACAUUAGCAUGGAAUAAUGAAAUAGGACAUCCGAUUCUAUUUUGUUGGUUUCUAGGAUCGAUGUAAUGAUUAAUAGGGAUAGUUGGGGGCAUUAGUAUUCAAUUGUCAGAGGUGAAAUUCUUGGAUUUAUUGAAGACUAACUACUGCGAAAGCAUUUGCCAAGGAUGUUUUCAUUAAUCAAGAACGAAAGUUAGGGGAUCGAAGACGAUCAGAUACCGUCGUAGUCUUAACCAUAAACUAUGCCGACUAGGGAUCGGAUGAUGUUAAUUUUUUAAUGACUCAUUCGGCGCCUUACAGGAAAC
rnacentral:rRNA from 1 species